AGAGUUUGAUUAUGGCUCAGGAUGAACGCUAGCUACAGGCUUAACACAUGCAAGUCGAGGGGCAGCAUGGUCUUAGCUUGCUAAGAUUGAUGGCGACCGGCGCACGGGUGAGUAACGCGUAUCCAACCUUCCCUAUAGUAGGGGAUAGCCCGUAGAAAUGCGGAUUAAUACCCUAUGUUGUAUUUUGAGGACAUCUGACGAAUACCAAAGGUUCACCGCUAUAGGAUGGGGAUGCGUCUGAUUAGGUAGUCGGCGGGGUAACGGCCCACCGAGCCAACGAUCAGUAGGGGUUCUGAGAGGAAGGUCCCCCACAUUGGAACUGAGACACGGUCCAAACUCCUACGGGAGGCAGCAGUGAGGAAUAUUGGUCAAUGGGCGAGAGCCUGAACCAGCCAAGUAGCGUGCAAGGAUGACGGCCCUAUGGGUUGUAAACUGCUUUUAUGCGGGGAUAAAGUCAGGGACGCGUCCCUGUUUGCAUGUACCGCAAGAAUAAGGACCGGCUAAUUCCGUGCCAGCCGCAGC
rnacentral:rRNA from 1 species